GAGAUGAAUGGAUAUUUCAACAUAUUAGAUGGAUUUUUGGAGAAAGGAGUUGGAAUAAGGACUUGCUCUGUCCACUCCACUCAUCAGCCUGGUAUUGUAGUACCUCCAGGAAUGGUGC
rnacentral:snRNA from 1 species